rnacentral:rRNA from 1 species
UACGGAGGAUCCAAGCGUUAUCCGGAUUUAUUGGGUUUAAAGGGUGCGUAGGCGGACUCAUAAGUCAGUGGUGAAAGUUUGCAGCUUAACUGUAAAAUUGCCAUUGAAACUGUUAGUCUUGAGUGCAAGUGAGGUAAGCGGAAUGUGUAAUGUAGCGGUGAAAUGCUUAGAUAUUACACAGAACACCAAUUGCGAAGGCAGCUUACUGGUAUGUAACUGACGCUGAGGCACGAAAGCGUGGGGAUCAAACAGG